AACGCUAGCUACAGGCUUAACACAUGCAAGUCGAGGGGCAUCAGUUUGGUUUGCUUGCAAACCAAAGCUGGCGACCGGCGCACGGGUGAGUAACACGUAUCCAACCUGCCUCAUACUCGGGGAUAGCCUUUCGAAAGAAAGAUUAAUAUCCGAUAGCAUAUAUUUCCCGCAUGGGUUUUAUAUUAAAGAAAUUCGGUAUGAGAUGGGGAUGCGUUCCAUUAGUUUGUUGGGGGGGUAACGGCCCACCAAGACUACGAUGGAUAGGGGUUCUGAGAGGAAGGUCCCCCACAUUGGAACUGAGACACGGUCCAAACUCCUACGGGAGGCAGCAGUGAGGAAUAUUGGUCAAUGGACGCGAGUCUGAACCAGCCAAGUAGCGUGAAGGAUGACUGCCCUAUGGGUUGUAAACUUCUUUUAUAUGGGAAUAAAGUUGUCCACGUGUGGAUUUUUGUAUGUACCAUAUGAAUAAGGAUCGGCUAACUCCGUGCCAGCAGCCGCGGUAAUACGGAGGAUCCGAGCGUUAUCCGGAUUUAUUGGGUUUAAAGGGAGCGUAGGCCGGAGAUUAAGCGUGUUGUGAAAUGUAGACGCUCAACGUCUGCACUGCAGCGCGAACUGGUUUCCUUGAGUACGCACAAAGUGGGCGGAAUUCGUGGUGUAGCGGUGAAAUGCUUAGAUAUCACGAAGAACUCCGAUUG
rnacentral:rRNA from 1 species